UACCAGCACCCCGAGUGGUCGGGACGAUUAUUGGGCCUAAAGCAUCCGUAGCCGGUUCUACAAGUCUUCCGUUAAAUCCACCUGCUUAACAGAUGGGCUGCGGAGGAUACUAUAGAGCUAGGAGGCGGGAGAGGCAAGCGGUACUUAGUGGGUAGGGGUAAAAUCCGUUGAUCCAUUGAAGACCACCAGUGGCGAAGUCGGCUUGCCAGAACGCACUCGACGGUGAGGGAUGAAAGCUGGGGGAGCAAACCGG
rnacentral:rRNA from 1 species